GCCUUCGUUGUAUAACGGUAGCACAUUCGUCUCGUGUUCGAGCAGUCCAGGUUCGAGUCCAGGAGAGGGCA
rnacentral:tRNA from 1 species